AAAACGAAACGGCAAACCCAUUGAAAAAUGGGGGCGCAAAACUUCAGGCCUAAGGAUGAUAUCUAUGGUAGCUGGGUUGCCGAA
rnacentral:ncRNA from 1 species